GAACUUAAGCAUAUCAAUAAGCGGAGGAAAAGAAACUAACAAGGAUUCCCCUAGUAACUGCGAGUGAAGCGGGAAAAGCUCAAAUUUAAAAUCUGGUGGCCUUUGGUCAUCCGAGUUGUAAUUUAGAGAAGCGUCUUCCGCGCUGGACCGUGCACAAGUCUCCUGGAAUGGAGCGUCAUAGAGGGUGAGAAUCCCGUCUUUGGCACGGAUCCCGGUGCUUCUGUGAUGCGCUCUCGAAGAGUCGAGUUGUUUGGGAAUGCAGCUCAAAAUGGGUGGUGAACUCCAUCUAAAGCUAAAUAUUGGCGAGAGACCGAUAGCGAACAAGUACCGUGAGGGAAAGAUGAAAAGCACUUUGGAAAGAGAGUGAAACAGUACGUGAAAUUGUUGAAAGGGAAACGCUUGAAGUCAGUCGCGUCGUCCGAGACUCAGCCUCGCCUCGGCUUGGUGUACUUCUCGACCGACGGGUCAGCAUCAAUUUCACCCCUUGGAUAAUGGCGAGGGAAAUGUGGCACCUUUGCGGGUGCGUUAUAGUCCCUCGUCGCAUGCAAGGGUCGGGAUUGAGGAACUCAGCACGCGCCUUUUGGUGUCGGGGCUUUUGCCCACGAUACGUGCUUAGGAUGUUGGCGUAAUGGCUUUAAACGACCCGUCUUGAAACACGGACCAAGGAGUCUAACAUGCCCGCGAGUGUUCGGGUGGAAAACCCGUGCGCGCAAUGAAAGUGAAAGUUGGGACCUCUGUCGUGGAGGGCACCGACGCCCGGACCAGACCUUCUGUGACGGAUCUGCGGUGGAGCGUGUAUGUUAGGACCCGAAA
rnacentral:rRNA from 1 species